CGGUAAGGCCCCUUCGGGGGUACACGAGUGGCGAACGGGUGAGUGUGAUCUGCCCUGCACUCUGGGAUAAGCCUGGGAAACUGGGUCUAAUACCGGAUAUGACCUUGGACUGCAUGGUUCUUGGUGGAAAGGUUUACUGGUGCAGGAUGGGCCCGCGGCCUAUCAGCUUGUUGGUGGGGUAAUGGCCUACCAAGGCGACGACGGGUAGCCGGCCUGAGAGGGCGACCGGCCACACUGGGACUGAGACACGGCCCAGACUCCUACGGGAGGCAGCAGUGGGGAAUAUUGCACAAUGGGCGAAAGCCUGAUGCAGCGACGCCGCGUGAGGGAUGAAGGCCUUCGGGUUGUAAACCUCUUUCAGCAGGGACGAAGCGAGAGUGACGGUACCUGCAGAAGAAGCACCGGCUAACUACGUGCCAGCAGCCGCGGUAAUACGUAGGGUGCGAGCGUUGUCCGGAAUUACUGGGCGUAAAGAGUUCGUAGGCGGUUUGUCACGUCGUUUGUGAAAACUCACAGCUCAACUGUGAGCCUGCAGGCGAUACGGGCAGACUUGAGUACUGCAGGGGAGACUGGAAUUCCUGGUGUAGCGGUGAAAUGCGCAGAUAUCAGGAGGAACACCGGUGGCGAAGGCGGGUCUCUGGGCAGUAACUGACGCUGAGGAACGAAAGCGUGGGUAGCAAACAGGAUUAGAUAC
rnacentral:rRNA from 1 species